UGAAAUAGACAAAAGGUUGCUCGCUUUGGCUGGGUGGGAAGAGCCCUUCAAGUCUUAUGUCUUCUUGUUAUGUUUCCUCUACAUGGCUUACAUGUAUUGUUUUCUGCACUAGGGAAGAGCAUUCUCCUAUGAAGAUAAUUGAUUUUGGUCUCUCAGAUUUUAUAAGACCAGGUUGAACUAGAACUAUUACGUUUCCUUUGUGAGAGGAUUGUUAAGAAAGAAAAAGUGAAGAAAUUCCUAUUCAGCACUAGGGAAGAGCAUUCUCCUAUGAAGAUAAUUGAUUUUGGUCUCUCAGAUUUUAUAAGACCAGAUGAAAGGCUUAAUGACAUUGUUGGAAGUGCAUACUAUGUUGCUCCAGAAGUCUUGCAUAGGUCAUAUAGCACAGAAGCAGACAUGUGGAGCAUUGGUGUUAUCACUUAUAUAUUGCUGUGUGGUAGCAGGCCAUUCUGGGCACGAACUGAAUCAGGCAUUUUUCGCUCAGUGCUGAGAGCUGACCCUAAUUUUGACGACUCACCAUGGCAAUCAGUAUCGCCUGAAGCUAAAGAUUUUGUCAAAAGACUUCUUAACAAGGAUUACAGAAAAAGAAUGACUGCUGCACAGGCACUCUAUAAGUACUCUCAAUGUUUGACUAUGUUUCUAUUUUUUCUGCCAAUUUGUUGUUCUUUCAUAUUUUUCUGCCAAUUUGUUGUUCUUUCAUAUUUUUCUGCCAUACUUGCUUUGCUGCAUAAAACUGUAAUAUUAUUGCUUGCUGAAUUCCUAAGACAGAGUGUGCUGUUAACUCGUGGACUUGUUGGUUUGGUUAUAGAUUUGUGAGAAGUACCUAUCAUUGAAGAAAGGUACCCGACCAGACAUAACAACGGCAAUUGAAGAUUGUUCACACAAAUAAAGGCUUCUCUAACUCCCCCCUGAACUAAAUAGCAUUUGGUAAUAACCAAGAGCUUCACAGUGCUCGAUCUUCAUUUGAGCAAGCCCGUUUCAACCUGGUCACUUCACUUUCCCAUGUCGAGGCAAAGAAGAGAUAUGAAUUUUUGGAGGCUGUUAGUGCGAUGAUGGACUCACAUCUUCGAUAUUUUAAACAAGGAUAUGAACUAUUGCAUCAAAUGGAACCAUAUAUUAAUCAGUAGUUGGGAGAGGUGAUCUUUGCAUGAGUCCAGUAGAAUUUCAACCUUCUGUAAGUGAAGAUUUAGUACUGGAGAAGAAAUCUGGAAAUGGGCAGCAUGAUGUCAGAGGCACACAUCAUCACAGAACCAACAUGAAACCUGAAAAACCAAUUGACUUGCUUAGGAAAGUUGAUGGCAAUAAUAUGUGUGCUGACUGUGGUGCUUCAGAACCUGAUUGGGCAUCAUUAAACCUUGGCGCACUUCUAUGCAUAGAGUGUUCUGGGGUACACAGAAAUCUUGGAGUGCAUAUAUCAAAGGUUAGAUCUCUUACACUUGAUGUCAGAGUUUGGGAGCCAUCUGUAAUCAAUCUCUUUCAGUCAUUAGGCAACAUGUUUGUCAACAGUAUUUGGGAAGAGACGCUGCCAGAUGAUAAUUCAAGUGCUGAUGGAUCAGACACAUCACAGUACCUCUCUGUUAGCAAGCCUAAACACAAAGAUGUAUUCUCUGCCAAGGAGAAGUUUAUUCAUGCCAAGGAUUCCGGCUCUCAUCAAGUGACUCCUCCCCCUCACGCUGACUUUGCGGACAAAUGACUCAAUUCUAGUGGUGGAGCUACGAACAACAAUCCGAUGUUCUGAUCGAGAGCGAUGGAGCUAAUGUUUGAACUUGUGAACUAAAAAUGUGAACUAUGGAUGUGAACUUAUGUAUUUGGACUUAUGUGAAUUUGUGAACUUAUGUAUUUGGACUUGUGUGAAUUUGUGAUAUGAACAUAUAUCCAUGUGUUUGAAAUCUGUAUUGUAUGUGAUAUUCUGUGUUGCAUGUGA